rnacentral:rRNA from 1 species
AGUGAACGCUGGCGGCGUGCUUAAGACAUGCAAGUCGAACGGCAGUCUUCGGACUGUAGUGGCGCACGGGUGAGUAACGCGUAACUGACCUACCCCAAAGUCGCGGAUAACGAUUCGAAAGAAUCGCUAAUACGUGAUGUGCUGUCAGAUUGUGUUCUGCCAGUAAAGAUUGAUUGCUUUGGGAUGGGGUUGCGUUCCAUCAGCUAGUUGGUGGGGUAAAGGCCCACCAAGGCGACGACGGAUAGCCGGCCUGAGAGGGUGGCCGGCCACAGGGGCACUGAGACACGGGUCCCACUCCUACGGGAGACAGCAGUUAGGAAUCUUCCACAAUGGGCGAAAGCCUGAUGGAGCGACGCCGCGUGAGGGAUGAAGGUCUUCGGAUCGUAAACCUCUGAAUCAGGGACGAAAGACACUUCGGUGGGAUGACGGUACCUGAGUAAUAGCACCGGCUAACUCCGUGCCAGCCGCCGCAGUAACAC